UGGUGGAUUCUCUGAAUGUUUGCAUUGGUCAAGAUGAUCCUAAUGGACACUAAAGUUUGGAACCACCAUUUGAAUGAAGAAAGUGAUGUCCAAAGAGGUCAAUUAACUUAUUCAAGGUCAUCUAAUUAGUGGAGGACUAAACCCCUCUCUCCAAAAUUCAUGUCUGUAUGUUCUUCAUGCAGUAAUCCCCAGAUCUGAAGAGUGGGCACCUAUUGAUUAUCUAAAUGUGAAUCACCUGAGAAACUUGUUAAAAUGCAGCUUCCAGGUCUCAUCUCCAGAGAUUCUGAUUCAAUGCCUCCGGUAUAAGGCCUUGAAAUUUGUACAGAGAAGGGAAACAACUCAUAAAGCACUUUUUAUCUACUUACCUCAGUACUUUUUAGAAGCUUUAGAUGCUAACAUUGAAGAUGCACAACCAUGAAGAUGUAGGAGACUGGAUCCCUGAAUCACUGCUUGGAUGAUAGCAGCAAGCUUCUUUGGUGUUAAACAACUUAGAUAUUCUGAUAAAGCGUCUACUGUUGCCUUAAUUAAGGAGAGAUGGAUAAUAUUUUCUUGGAUGAAAGUGAUAGAGGUGAGGAUGAAGAGAAGUGGUCAGAUUCUACAUACAAUUAUCAGAGAAACAGGAGUUCCUGAGAAUGUGGAUAUGAUGAGAAGUGACUCAGGGGAAGGAUGAUGUCAAGCUGUUGUCAAGCCAAUUGCAUGGAAAGAGAAGAAUUAACGUGAUCUCCCUUCAAAAUGAUGGAUUCCCUGGCUCCACAUUCAUCAUCUGGCUCACCAUUACCAACUCUUUGCAGUCCAUUGCAGGGUGACCUUGUUAGCACUGUCUGUGCACUUUCUGUGAUAGCGGGCUGCCUGGGGGCCCUGCAUGUGUGGUGUGGGUUAAUGAGGGUCUGAGUCAUCAAGUUAGAAACUCACCUUUCCAGCCAUCAGAUCCAGAAAUGCUAGAAAAAGGCACAGGGCUCAUAAUCAGACAUGCCAUGUUGACCAAAGAGUAAUGUCUCAUCCUGGUGAGAUCGUCCACAGGACCUGUGCUGAAUAAUUGUCAGGCAGCCAUGAGACCAUGGUAAGCUCCCAUACUAUCUAGAGGUCAAUUUAUCAUCCAAGAUGGCCUGCUUUGCAGAUUGCAGCAUGCAUACCCUCUGCAGCACCAGGUAGCAGGCAGCAGGAGAGGUAGCCCCACAAUAACACAGCAUGUGUCCCUAGAGCAUCUUCUUAUUGAAAUGGGAGAUUUAAAACCUUUUAAAGAAAACUAAUGGUCCUGUUUGUUGUCUAAGGAUAAAGACGAGUACAUUUUAAUGGUGAAAUAAAGAAACUUCAAAUAAAUUUUGCACUUGAA